rnacentral:rRNA from 1 species
AUGAGAGCAUCUCCAACAGCCGCGCUAAACAAGCGUCGCGCCGCAAAUUUGGCAAUUUUAGCGCGCGCGCAACCCGCAGGGUGUCUCCAGCGGGCGCGCAAUAACCACGCGCACGGUAUAAGGAGUUGGGCGCGCUGUCCGAUUCGCUAUCUCGCGCGGUGUAUUUGGGGCGCCCGCUUCCGCGCGCGGCACACUCGAGCGCUCGCGCCGCACUCUCUCCUCUCCGCCUCCUACGCCCCACGCGCGCCGGCGCCGGCAAACUGCACCCCAUGGACGCACGCGCCGGCACCCCGCUCACCCCAUCCUAUAGCCGCGACCCGUCCACCGCCGCCGCCGCCGCAAACCCUAGCGCGGGGGCGUUGGCCUCGCCUCCGCCGGAGCUCCUCCGACCAUCGGCCUCGCGCGCUGCCUCUUCACGCCGCCGCGGAUAACCUCGGCGGCGGGUGGCGUCGCGCCGGCGCCGCCGCGCCCCCCUCGAAGCUCCCCAAUGCGGCGCGGCCGAAGAAGGGCAAGGCAUCGGCGAAGAAGAACAAGGCGACGGACGGCUCCGGCACCUCUAAGGCGAGGAGGAAGAAGCUUGCAGGGCGUGUGACGGGUGCGGCGGCUACCGAAGCGCCGGCGAGCUCACUCGUUGAGCUGGCGGCCGACGCGCACAACGUGUUCGACGAAAUGCCCCCAAGUCUCAACGAUGAUGCAUACAUGUCAACUAUGGGUGUUGGCUCCAACAAUUCGCAUUGGUCUCAAACCAAUGACAUGCAUUUCGAGGACCAUGAGUUCGAGGCGGACGAGGAGGGUGAGGGCAUUGUCGACGCGCCGAAAGGAAGAGCGUGCAAUUACACCAACGCCGAUAACAUCUUACUAUGCAAUACUUGGUUGCAAGUGUCGAGGGAUCCAUCCGUUGGAGGUGAUCAAAGUAGAGAUGCUUAUUGGGGGCGGAUGAAAGAACACUAUGAUGUUCACAACGUGAGUGGAAUUGACCGCUCCGAGAGAUCACUUCGGUCCCGGUGGUCGACAAUCAACUCGGAUUGUCAAAGGUGGGCGGCUUGUCAAAAGGCGGUUGACAAGUUGAACCCAAGUGGUACAAAUGAGGACGAUAGAUACCACAUUGCACAAAACUUGUUCAAAGAAGAGGAGAGGAAAACCAAGAAGGGGGAGAUCAAGAAAGGAAGGGCAAGAAAAGAAGCCAACGAGGUGAGGAAAAUGGCAAGGAACCAAGAUGCCGCGGCCGAGGAGGGGAGGUUGGCGGCCGAGGAGAGGAGAGUGGCGGCCGAGGAGAGGAAGGUGGCUUUGGAGGAGAGGAAGGUGAGCAAUGAGGAGCGAACAAGAUUGUUGGAAUGGGAGAAGCACUUGUUCUUCUUGGACACAUCUAACCUCAAUGAGGCGCAAAAGGAGUUUGUCAAUCUUUCACGUGAAGAAGUCUUGAUCCAAAAAAGAGCCAUGGUGCCAUGGGAGGCAUGGGUCGCUUUGGAGCACCCCCGACGCUAUGGCCACCGCAUGAGUUUUGCUUCUCUCAUGGGAGGCAUGGGUGCACCUCCGGCCGCCAUGGGCGGAAUGUCUUUCGAUGUGCCUCCUCACACACAUUCCCAUGAAGGUGCCGUUGAAGAUCUUGCCAACACCGUCGAAGCUUCACGUGAUGCGGUGCGCGAUGAGGAGAGGGAGGAAGAAUCAUCUUCGGAGGAGGCAGAAUCGUCUUCCGAAGAUGAGGACAAAGACGAGGAGGAGGAUUGA